rnacentral:rRNA from 1 species
GUGCCAGCAGCCGCGGUAAUACGUAGGGGGCAAGCGUUGUCCGGAUUUAUUGGGCGUAAAGCGCUCGCAGGCGGCCCGAGGCGUCGUGCGUGAAAGCCCCCGGCUCAACUGGGGAAGGUCGUGCGAUACGGUCGGGCUCGAGGCCAGUAGGGGGACGCGGAAUUCCGGGUGUAGUGGUGGAAUGCGUAGAGAUCCGGAGGAACACCAGCGGCGAAGGCGGCGUCCUGGACUGGUACUGACGCUCAAGAGCGAAAGCGUGGGGAGCGAUCCGGAUUAGAUACCCGAGUAGUCC